GAGGCACCGAUCCCGGUCCGCCGCCGCCCGCGAGGCCCACCUUGGCCACGGCUCUGGAGGCCAGUGCCU
rfam:Pongo pygmaeus H19 gene, partial sequence.